AAAGUCAAGUAUUGAUGUGUAAACACAGCCAGUAGACAGAAGCCCAGUGACCAGUGUUGGAACAGAACUAAGGGUGGUCCAACGCGACCAACUGUGUACUAAACCAUUGUCAUAUUUUACAUAAGGAAAUAUAAUAUAUAAUUCUAUUACAAGCACGAAUUAAGAAAGUGU